UCCCCUUCUUAGGAAAAUUAAAACACCAGAAACAUCGUUAGUUAGCAUUUAACCUGAGAUUUAAUCUGUUGAGAGGUUAACAUCCUUAGAAAUUUCUUCACUUGUUGCAUUAACUUAUACUGAUGUUGGUAUUUUAUGAAAAAAAAAAAAAAAAAAAAAAAAAGUUGCUUGCAACAUGGCUUUUCACUGUGUUUAUCAAAAAAAUUAAGAGAAUGCAUGUUUUUCUCACAGUAUCCAGAAGCUGGAAUAA